GCGAGGGAAAAUCGGUCAACACCGAUAAAUGCCCGCUUGUUCGGCCUUCUAAGCCGUAGGUCACACGUUCGAGUCGUGUAGGGCGGGCCA
rnacentral:tRNA from 1 species